AGCCACAGACAAAGCAUCGAUCGAAUGAAUUGGGGCAACGAUUACAUUGAAGAUCUCCUCGAAUCAGGAAAAAGAAAAGGCUAAGGUGUCUUAACAAAAAAAGAAAAUGAAAGCUAUGCAGGAAUGGGAACACAAAAUGUACCGCAAAUGGUCAUCAAUUUAUGGGUUUGCGAUAUAAUCAAAGGU